rnacentral:rRNA from 1 species
UACAGAGGUCUCAAGCGUUGUUCGGAUUCAUUGGGCGUAAAGGGUGCGUAGGUGGCGCUGUAAGUCGGGUGUGAAAUUUCGGAGCUUAACUCCGAAACUGCAUUCGAUACUGCGGUGCUUGAGGACUGGAGAGGAGACUGGAAUUCAUGGUGUAGCAGUGAAAUGCGUAGAGAUCAUGAGGAAGACCAGUGGCGAAGGCGGCAUCCUGGACCAACACUGACACUGAGGAGCGAAAGCCAGGGGAGCAAACGGG